AUGAACGCUGGCGGCGUGCUUAACCCAUGCCAGUCGCACGCGAAAUGGAGACGGAACCCUUCGGGCGGAAGGCUUCAUUUCGAGUGGCGGACGGGUGAGUAACGCGUGGGUAACCUGCCUCAUACAGGGGGAUAACAGUUGGAAACGACUGUUAAUACCGCAUAAGACCACAGCACCGCAUGGUGCGGGGGUAAAAACUCCGGUGGUAUGAGAUGGACCCGCGUUCGAUUAGCCAGUUGGCGGGGUAACGGCCCACCAAAGCGACGAUCGAUAGCCGAUCUGAGAGGAUGACCGGCCACAUUGGGACUGAGACACGGCCCAAACUCCUACGGGAGGCAGCAGUGGGGAAUAUUGCACAAUGGGGGAAACCCUGAUGCAGCGACGCCGCGUGAGUGAAGAAGUACUUCGGUAUGUAAAGCUCUAUCAGCAGGGAAGAAAAUGACGGUACCUGAGUAAGAAGCCCCGGCUAACUACGUG
rnacentral:rRNA from 1 species